rnacentral:rRNA from 1 species
CAGUAGCCACGGGAAUACGUAGGUGGCAAGCGUUGUCCGGAAUUAUUGGGCGUAAAGGGCUCGCAGGCGGUUUCUCAAGUCUGAUGUGAAAGCCCCCGGCUCAACCGGGGAGGGUCAUUGGAAACUGGGAAACUUGAGUGCAGAAGAGGAGAGUGGAAUUCCACGUGUAGCGGUGAAAUGCGUAGAGAUGUGGAGGAACACCAGUGGCGAAGGCGACUCUCUGGUCUGUAACUGACGCUGAGGAGCGAAAGCGUGGGGAGCGAACAGGAUUAGAUACCCCGGUAGUCCCUGUCUCUUAUAC